GUUGUAAGAUUAAGCAAGAAAGCGUAUAUGGUGGAUGCCUUGGCAGUCAGAGGCGAUGAAGGACGUGAUAAUCUGCGAAAAGCGCCGGGGAGUUGAUAUAAAACGUUAUUAUCCGGCGAUAUCCGAAUGGGGAAACCCGAUACAUUCAUGUAUCAUUUUUAGUUGAAUAAAAUAGACUAAAAAAGCAAACCAAGAGAACUGAAACAUCUAAGUAUCUUGAGGAAAAGAAAUCAAUUGAGAUUCCCUAAGUAGUGGCGAGCGAACAGGGAUCAGCCUAGAGCAUAGUUAUUAACUAAAUAUUAGUAGAAUAAUUUGGAAAAAUUAGUGAAACAAGGUGAUAACCCUGUAUAUGAAAAUAUUUAAUUUAAUGCGUUCAAAAAGUAAAGCGAGACACGAGAAAUCUUGUUUGAAGAUGGGGGGACCAUCCUCCAAGGCUAAAUACUCCUGACUGACCGAUAGUGAACUAGUACCGUAAGGGAAAGGCGAAAAGAACCCCGGCGAGGGGAGUGAAAUAGAUCCUGAAACCGUAUACGUACAAGCAGUAGGAGCUUUUAAAAGAGUGACUGCGUACCUUUUGUAUAAUGGGUCAGCGACUUGUAUUCUGUAGCGAGGUUAACUGAAUAAGGGAGCCGAAGGGAAACCGAGUCUUAAAAGGGCGAUUUAGUUUCAGGAUACAGACCCGAAACCCGGUGAUCUAGCCAUGGACAGGUUGAAGGUUAGGUAAAACUAACUGGAGGACCGAACCGACUAAUGUUGAAAAAUUAGCGGAUGAUCUGUGGCUAGGGGUGAAAGGCCAAUCAAACCGGGAGAUAGCUGGUUCUCCUCGAAAGCUAUUUAGGUAGCGCCUCGUGAAAUUCAUUUUUGGGGGUAGAGCACUGUUUCGGAUAGGGGGCUAUACCGGCCUACCAAACCGAUGCAAACUCCGAAUACCAAAAAAUGUUAUCACGGGAGACACACAGCGGGUGCUAACGUUCGUUGUGGAAAGGGAAACAACCCAGACCGCCAGCUAAGGUCCCAAAGUUAUAAUUAAGUGGGAAACGAUGUGAGAAGGCAUAAACAGCCAGGAUGUUGGCUUAGAAGCAGCCAUCAUUUAAAGAAAGCGUAAUAGCUCACUGGUCAAGUCGGCUUGCGCGGAAGAUUUAACGGGGCUAAAUUAUACACCGAAGCUGCGGCAGUACUAUAUUAUAUUUGCAUAUAGUACUGGGUAGGGGAGCGUUCUGUAAGCCUGUGAAGAUGUAUUGUAAGAUAUGUUGGAGGUAUCAGAAGUGCGAAUGCUGACAUGAGUAACGAUAAAGCAGGUGAAAAACCUGCUCGCCGAAAAACUAAGGGUUCCUGUCCAACGAUAAUCGGGGCAGGGUAAGCCGAUCCUAAGGUGAGGUCGAAAGGCGUAAUCGAUGGAUUACAGGUUAAUAUUCCUGUGCUUAAUAUUAUUGCGAAGGGGGGACGGAGAAGGUUAUAUCAUCCAGGCGAUGGUAGUCCUGGUUUAAGUGUGUAGGAGUAAAUAGCUAGGAAAAUCCGGUUGUUUAUUAAUCUAAGGCGCGAUGACGAAUUACUAAGGUAAUGAAGUGAUAAACACCAUGCUUCCAAGAAAAGCCUCUAAGCUAUAAUUAAUAUUAAAUCGUACCCUAAACCGACACAGGUAGUUAGGUAGAGAAUACUAAGGCGCUUGAGAGAACUCGGGUGAAGGAACUAGGCAAAAUAGUGCCGUAACUUCGGGAGAAGGCACGCUAGAAUGUAGGUAAAAAAGACUUGCUCUUUUAAGCUGAAUCUAGCCGAAGAUAACAGCUGGCUGCAACUGUUUAUUAAAAACACAGCACUGUGCAAACACGAAAGUGGAAGUAUACGGUGUGAAGCCUGCCCGGUGCCGGAAGGUUAAUCGAAGGGGUUAAGAUUUAAACAUCUGAAGCUCUGGACUGAAGCCCCGGUAAACGGCGGCCGUAACUAUAACGGUCCUAAGGUAGCGAAAUUCCUUGUCGGGUAAGUUCCGACCUGCACGAAUGGCGUAAUGAUGGCCAGACUGUCUCCACCCGAGACUCAGUGAAAUUGAAAUUGCUGUGAAGAUGCAGUAUACCCGCGACAAGACGGAAAGACCCCGUGAACCUUUACUAUAGCUUGAUACUGAACAUUGAUUUCUAAUGUGUAGGAUAGGUGGGAGGCUAUGAAGUUUAAACGCUAGUUUAAAUAGAGCCAUCCUUGAAAUACCACCCUUUAAAAGUUAUUGUUCUAACCUAGUAUCGUUAUCCGGUACAGAGACAGUGUCUGGUGGGUAGUUUGACUGGGGCGGUCUCCUCCCAAAGAGUAACGGAGGAGUACAAAGAUUGGCUAAUUACGGUUAGACAUCGUAAGGUUAGUGCAAAGGCAUAAGCCAGUUUAACUGCGAGCGUGAUAACGCAAGCAGAUGCGAAAGCAGGUCUUAGUGAUCCGGUGGUUUCCGCAUGGAAGGGCCAUCGCUCAACAAAUAAAAGGUACUCCGGGGAUAACAGGCUGAUACCGCCCAAGAGUUCAUAUCGACGGCGGUGUUUGGCACCUCGAUGUCGGCUCAUCACAUCCUGGGGCUGAAGCAGGUCCCAAGGGUAUGGCUGUUCGCCAUUUAAAGUGGUACGCGAGCUGGGUUUAGAACGUCGUGAGACAGUUCGGUCCCUAUCUGUCGUGGGCGUAGGAAGAUUGAGGGGGGCUGUUUCUAGUACGAGAGGACCGAAAUGGACGUAUCACUGGUGUUCGGGUUGUCAUGCCAAUGGCAUUGCCCGGUAGCUAAAUACGGAAAAGAUAAGUGCUGAAAGCAUCUAAGCACGAAACUUGCCCCAAGAUUAGUCUUCCCUGAAGCUUGAAAAAGCUUACUGAAGGGACGUUGGAGACUACGACGUUGAUAGGCUGGAUGUGUACGCAUAGUGAUAUGUUUAGCUAACCAGUACUAAUGACCCGAGAGGCUUAAUCUUACAACACCAGAG
rnacentral:rRNA from 1 species